GAUAAACGCUGGCGGCGUGCUUAACACAUUCAAGUCGAACGGGGUUUGUUUGAAAGCUUGCUUUUGAAUAAACCAAGUGGCGGACGGGUGAGUAAUGCAUGAGCAACCUGCCUUCAAGAGGGGAAUAACACAUGGAAACGUGUGCUAAUACCGCAUAGACGUUAUGUCGGCAUCGACAAAACGGGAAGGAGUAAUCCGCUUGAAGAUGGGCUCAUGUCCGAUUAGGUUGUUGGUGAGGUAACGGCCACCAAGCCUGCGAUCGGUAGCCGGACUGAGAGGUUGAACGGCCACAUUGGAACUGAGAUACGGUCCAGACUCCUACGGGAGGCAGCAGUGGGGAAUAUUGGGCAAUGGGCGAAAGCCUGACCCAGCGACGCCGCGUGAGGGAAGAAGGUCUUCGGAUUGUAAACCUUUGUAGACAGGACGAAGAAAUGACGGUACCUGU
rnacentral:rRNA from 1 species